ACGGAAGGCAGCAGUAGGGAAUCUUCGGCAAUGGGGGCAACCCUGACCGAGCAACGCCGCGUGAGUGAAGAAGGUUUUCGGAUCGUUAAGCUCUGUUGUAAGAGAAGAACGUGUGUGAGAGUGGAAAGUUCACACGGUGACGGUAACUUACCAGAAAGGGACGGCUAACUACGUGCCAGCAGCCGCGGUAAUACGUAGGUCCCGAGCGUUGUCCGGAUUUAUUGGGCGUAAAGCGAGCGCAGGCGGUUUAAUAAGUCUGAAGUUAAAGGCAGUGGCUUAACCAUUGUUCGCUUUGGAAACUGUUAGACUUGAGUGCAGAAGGGGAGAGUGGAAUUCCAUGUGUAGCGGUGAAAUGCGUAGAUAUAUGGAGGAACACCGGUGGCGAAAGCGGCUCUCUGGUCUGUAACUGACGCUGAGGCUCGAAAGCGUGGGGAGCAAACAGGAUUAGAUACCCUGGUA
rnacentral:rRNA from 1 species